AGCAAAACUAGGGGGCACAGUGGGACAGUGUUAUGGUUGGGUUUAUAACCCCAUUAAAUACAAAUAAUAUAUUAAGUAUAUUUAGAUGUUUUCACUAUGAUACAUACAAGACUGGAAUAACCAGUAAAAUAUGCUUUCUACAGAUUUUGCUUAGUGAUGUCAUAAGUUAUAAACGGUGCGUUAUGAUGUCACAAGUGGCACGUGACUUAUUGCUGCUUGAAAUAAUCUACUGCCCUGUUACAAUAUGGGGUUGUUAGAACUUGCGAGUAGAAUUUACGGGCACAUUUAUCAAAACACGAGUUUAGAGCUCUAUACAUAAAAACUCACCCAAGUUCUAUUUAUCCCUCUAGGAUUUUUGGAAGCGUAUUUAUUAAUGGGGGGAAAGUAUUAACCAUUUGAUAAAUACGCUUCUUAAGAUCCCAUAGGAAUGAGAACAUUGGUGAGUUUUUACUGUAAUGUAUUAAGAUUGUAACUCAGAUUUCUAUGAAUUUGCCCCUUAAAGUUCAUUAAGAAGCCAUCGUAGAAGUAGCAUAUACGGUAUAGCUCCAUGUGGUUUCCACGGCAACCAUGACCAUGGGUCAUGGUCAUGUAUUGAUCCCCAGUCUCUCUUAUUCCCAUUUAUCCAUGUGACUGAUUGCUGUGGCCCCGCCGGCCCUGUAUUUAGCUGUGACACCCUUGUAACAUUUUCAUUGGCUCUCGGCCUGUUCUCCCUCACGUGAGGUCAUGGAGUGACAAAUUGUAGAUGGCUUGACGGGAUAUUUGCCAUGCUGCUAUAUUUACCCCCCCCAGUCAGGGUAAUUGCCGCAACAGCCAUUGGUAACUUUCUGACCUUCCUUUCUAAUUGCGUUGGCUCCGGGGCAGGGUUACUGUGGGGCCCCAGGGCUCAGCUUGGACCGGCACCAGUGGCCCUCUACACUCCUGGGCUUUCUGUGUACCCUAAAGGAACCAAGUUGUGGCAUUUAUAUGGAUCCUGGUGCAUUGUGGGAACUUACUGCUUAGCUGCAAGCUCUUUGUUAGGCAGAGGGAAGCAAUGCCCCCCCCCCCCCCCCCCAAUAAAAGCUACUGUCUUUAACCCUUUGCAUGUUGUAUAGUGUUUCGAUCAUGCAGAACAAUGCUUGGCCGGUCCUGUUUAUCUCCUGGCUCGGAAUUCUAGGUCGGAGUGCGGAUAUUUGGAAGACAGGGAGUUAGGAGCCGUCCAAUAGGAGCUGAGCAGGUGGGCGGGCACACAGAGCUGCCUGUGUGCUGGGAAUAUCCAGGUCAGAAUUCCUAAGCACGUUCCUACCCUGGGCACAGCCCGGCUUCCCUCGCACAAAAGGGGAGAUUGUGUUCUUGCAGCUGGGGCUGACAGUGUGUGAGUAAUGGGGCCUCUGUGUCGGCUCAUGUCGGCUCCAGGGCCCCUGGCUCGGCCGCCUUCUGCUGGCGCGGGGCCCUUACUCACGUACAGCUGAGCCGCACUCUGCCCAACUGUAUUGGCCCCCGUGCACCAUCCUAUCAUCCCCAGUGAGUAGGCAGAAAUGGCUCAGUGGCAAGCACUCUUUCUUAAAGGGGAACUGCACUCACAAACUAUCUCUUGGCUAAUGAAGGAGAAUCUAAUUGUAAGCAAUUUCCCAAUAUACAUUCCCAUUGGCUUCAACAUUAUGUAACUUCUAUUGAAAGCAACUUCCUGUCUGGCCAUUUAUAUUCUCUGGUUCUGUCUCUCGGAGGACAAUGGACUUUUCUGGUUCUGACCCUUGGAACAUUGUAGCAGGAGUCCGCCCUCCUCCGGGCCUGAUAAAUCGGCUUCUGCUACAUCGUUACAUUGUUCUGGGACUUCAUAAGGCACCUGCAGGAUGGAGGGAAGAUACGGGGCAUCUGUUUACCGAAAAAAGUUUGUUUGGCGUGAUAACAAAUCCCCAGAUUUCAGUAUGACGCUACCUACAGCCUCCGCUCCAACUCCCUGGUCUGCUUUAACUCAGCAGCUGCUAUUUAUUGGUGUUCUUCCCUCUUCUGGCUCCCCAUCAGAAUGGCUGAUAAGUCAUAUUGGCUCAUACUUGGUGCAGGCCCAGUACAGGGUGGGAGCAAUUUGGUACGGGUUCUGCACAGGGCACUGAAAUUUGGUACGGGCCAAUACAGAGUGCCAAUAUUUGUUACGGAUGUAGUGCGGGGCCGGAGGCCGAUGGCUGCUGGAGACCGUUGCCGGAGGCCGAUGGCUGCUGGAGACCGUUGCCGGAGGCCGAUGGCUGCUGGAGACCGUUGCCGGAGGCCGAUGGCUGCUGGAGACCGUUGCCGGAGGCCGAUGGCUGCUGGAGACCGUUGCCGGAGGCCGAUGGCAUGUACCUGGCUCUCUGCUGGAUUUUCCAUACUCCCACUCUCUGCUGGAUGAAUCCCCUCCAUUAACUGGUCCUUGUUGGUGCUAGAGGGUGCUGCACCCAUACCUUGGGGUGUAUCCGUAUCUCUUUAAAGGAAGCAUCAGUACAUACAUAUAGUAUAAAGGGCCAGUAAGGCCAGUGAGGCUGUGUGUGGCACCAAGUCUUCCCCUUAAGACUGGCAGAUAAGACUAAUGCACAGUGCUGAGUAAGUGGGACCUGUGCCUCACAUGGAUAACUGCCCUCAUUUAACCUCUGUGAAUGUCCUGCCAUCAGCGUAUUCUACUGCUCAGUGAGGAACGUGUGUGAGACGAUGGGGCUAUUAAUGCCCCCCCCAGCCGAAAGCCUCAUUUGUCUUUUUUUAUACAGUGCAUUUCUGCUACAGUCCCCCAGUAUUCACAUACUGUGAGAUCAAUAGUUUUUUCGCUACUGGGGGCGGUGGCAAAGAGUUGGAAGAAGGCAAAUAAUUCAGAAACGAUAACAAAAAUAAAUAAUGGAGACCAAUUGGCCAUUCUAUAACAUACUAAAAGUUAACUUCAAGUUGAACCACCCCUUUAAAGGAAACUGAACUUAAGGUGUAGUGUAUAUAAUGGCAGGUAAAUUGUGCUCCUUUCUGCUGGUUGCUAGGCUGCCUGGCCCUAGCAGCCUGGUGGGUGUUACAGACAUAUAUUGGGAAGAUACAAUUUUCUACUAGCAGUUUGUUGGUAUCUGACCCGUCGCUGGCUGGAGUCCUAGCCGGGUAUCCCUAACACUAUUUCUGGUACAGAGGAGCCGGUGCCUCCUUUUCUGCUUGUGCUGGUCGGGCCCCGGCCCCGCAUUGCUGAGGAGCCCUCCCACUCCAUUCUUUUUGUCUGGAUAAUUGCCAGAAGCGUUUGAAAUUCCAUCGGGGCCUGGAAUCUAAUCUGGGCCCUUCCUUACAGUUAAAGGGACGUUGGAUUUGGGGGGGAAAGGAUGAAAUGUAACACUAGCAGAAUAUAAACCUCCCAGGCUUAAAGUAAACAGCGGCGUCAUCCCCGAAAUAAUGUCGUAUAUCAAAUAAUAGUGGGUGGGCCGGCACAACUGCCUCUCUCUGUAUCAGCCUUGCUGGCCUGUAGUAGUUCCCAUAUCCUGUAAAUGGCAUUUAUAUACUGUCUGCAGGUAUCUAUAGAAGUGUGAGCUGCCAAAUUGCUUGCCUCGCUUGGGACACCCCCAGGCAACUGCUUUUUUUGCAGUUUUUUUCCCUUAACGU